rnacentral:rRNA from 1 species
AGUGAACGCUGGCGGCAGGCCUAACACAUGCAAGUCGAACGGCAGCACGGCAGUAGCAAUACUGUGGGUGGCGAGUGGCGGACGGGUGAGGAAUACAUCGGGAUCUACCCCUGUUGUGGGGGGAUAACGUAGGGAAACUUACGCUAAUACCGCAUAAGAACUGAGGUUGAAAGCGGCGGACCGCAAAGGCGUCGCGCGAUUGGAUGAACCGAUGUCCGAUUAGCUAGUUGGCGGGGUAAAGGCCCACCAAGGCGACGAUCGGUAGCUGGUCUGAGAGGACGACCAGCCACACUGGAACUGAGACACGGUCCAGACUCCUACGGGAGGCAGCAGUGGGGAAUAUUGGACAAUGGGCGCAAGCCUGAUCCAGCCAUGCCGCGUGGGUGAAGAAAGGCCUUCGGUUGUAAAGA